GAAAGGCGAAAAGAACCCCGGCGAGGGGAGUGAAAAAGAACCUGAAACCGUGUACGUACAAGCAGUGGGAGCACCUUCGGGUGUGACUGCGUACCUUUUGUAUAAUGGGUCAGCGACUUAUAUUCUGUAGCAAGGUUAACCGUAUAGGGGAGCCGCAGGGAAACCGAGUCUUAACUGGGCGUUAAGUUGCAGGGUAUAGACCCGAAACCCGGUGAUCUAGCCAUGGGCAGGUUGAAGGUUGGGUAACACUAACUGGAGGACCGAACCGACUAAUGUUGAAAAAUUAGCGGAUGACUUGUGGCUGGGGGUGAAAGGCCAAUCAAACCGGGAGAUAGCUGGUUCUCCCCGAAAGCUAUUUAGGUAGCGCCUCGUGAAUUCAUCUUCGGGGGUAGAGCACUGUUUCGGCUAGGGGGUCAUCCCGACUUACCAACCCGAUGCAAACUACGAAUACCGAAGAAUGUUAUCACGGGAGACACACGGCGGGUGCUAACGUCCGUCGUGAAGAGGGAAACAACCCAGACCGCCAGCUAAGGUCCCAAAGUCAUGGUUAAGUGGGAAACGAUGUGGGAAGGCACAGACAGCCAGGAUGUUGGCUUAGAAGCAGCCAUCAUUUAAAGAAAGCGUAAUAGCUCACUGGUCGAGUCGGCCUGCGCGGAAGAUGUAACGGGGCUAAACCAUGCACCGAAGCUGCGGCAGCGACACUAUGUGUUGUUGGGUAGGGGAGCGUUCUGUAAGCCUGCGAAGGUGACCUGUGAGGGUUGCUGGAGGUAUCAGAAGUGCGAAUGCUGACAUAAGUAACGAUAAAGCGGGUGAAAAGCCCGCUCGCCGGAAGACCAAGGGUUCCUGUCCAACGUUAAUCGGGGCAGGGUGAGUCGACCCCUAAGGCGAGGCCGAAAGGCGUAGUCGAUGGGAAACAGGUUAAUAUUCCUGUACUUGGUGUUACUGCGAAGGGGGGACGGAGAAGGCUAUGUUAGCCGGGCGACGGUUGUCCCGGUUUAAGCAUGUAGGCUGGUUGUCCAGGCAAAUCCGGAUAAUCAAGGCUGAGGUGUGAUGACGAGGCACUACGGUGCUGAAGUAACAAAUGCCCUGCUUCCAGGAAAAGCCUCUAAGCAUCAGGUAACAUCAAAUCGUACCCCAAACCGACACAGGUGGUCAGGUAGAGAAUACCAAGGCGCUUGAGAGAACUCGGGUGAAGGAACUAGGCAAAAUGGUGCCGUAACUUCGGGAGAAGGCACGCUGGUGUGUAGGUGAAGUCCCUGCGGAUGGAGCUGAGACCAGUCGAAGAUACCAGCUGGCUGCAACUGUUUAUUAAAAACACAGCACUGUGCAAACACGAAAGUGGACGUAUACGGUGUGACGCCUGCCCGGUGCCGGAAGGUUAAUUGAUGGGGUUAUCCGUAAGGAGAAGCUCUUGAUCGAAGCCCCGGUAAACGGCGGCCGUAACUAUAACGGUCCUAAGGUAGCGAAAUUCCUUGUCGGGUAAGUUCCGACCUGCACGAAUGGCGUAAUGAUGGCCAGGCUGUCUCCACCCGAGACUCAGUGAAAUUGAACUCGCUGUGAAGAUGCAGUGUACCCGCGGCAAGACGGAAAGACCCCGUGAACCUUUACUAUAGCUUGACACUGAACAUUGAGCCUUGAUGUGUAGGAUAGGUGGGAGGCUUUGAAGCGUGGACGCCAGUCUGCGUGGAGCCAACCUUGAAAUACCACCCUUUAAUGUUUGAUGUUCUAACGUUGGCCCCUGACCGGGGUUGCGGACAGUGUCUGGUGGGUAGUUUGACUGGGGCGGUCUCCUCCCAAAGCGUAACGGAGGAGCACGAAGGUUAGCUAAUCCUGGUCGGACAUCAGGAGGUUAGUGCAAUGGCAUAAGCUAGCUUGACUGCGAGCGUGACGGCGCGAGCAGGUGCGAAAGCAGGUCAUAGUGAUCCGGUGGUUCUGAAUGGAAGGGCCAUCGCUCAACGGAUAAAAGGUACUCCGGGGAUAACAGGCUGAUACCGCCCAAGAGUUCAUAUCGACGGCGGUGUUUGGCACCUCGAUGUCGGCUCAUCACAUCCUGGGGCUGAAGUAGGUCCCAAGGGUAUGGCUGUUCGCCAUUUAAAGUGGUACGCGAGCUGGGUUUAGAACGUCGUGAGACAGUUCGGUCCCUAUCUGCCGUGGGCGCUGGAGAAUUGAGGGGGGCUGCUCCUAGUACGAGAGGACCGGAGUGGACGCAUCACUGGUGUUCGGGUUGUCAUGCCAAUGGCACUGCCCGGUAGCUAAAUGCGGAAGAGAUAAGUGCUGAAAGCAUCUAAGCACGAAACUUGCCCCGAGAUGAGUUCUCCCUGAGACUUUAAGUCUCCUGAAGGAACGUUAAAGACGAUGACGUUGAUAGGCCGGGUGUGUAAGCGCAGCGAUGCGUUGAGCUAACCGG
rnacentral:rRNA from 1 species